AUUCAAGAAUCACACCUCUCAACACAAAACCAAUAAACUUAGCUAGGUAACCAAGGAAGGUAGCAGCAAGCUAAGAGGAGGCAAUGGAGGGAAAGAGGACUACCACUUUGAUGGUGAUCAUGUGCCUGGUCAUCUUGAGCCUCAAUGUUAACCCCACCGCGGCGGAGUGCGGCUGCUGCGCAUCCGCCCAGGCAAAACUAUGUUGUCAGCUUUGUAUUCGUGCGGGUGCCUCCGACGCAGUCUGCAAGAACACUUGCUGUUUCCCAUGUUUUCUGGACGAUUCUGUUGCUGCUAAGAUGGUAGAAAUGGAAGUGCUUGCUAAGAUGGAAGGAGCUGGACAAGCCUAAAAUGAUAGCAUGAAUGCCACUCAUAGGCAUAUGUUGCUAUGCUUCAAGCUAUGGCCAAGUUACGUUAAUAUUUAUCUCCAAUAAAUUGUUCACCAUAUGGGACGACCAUCUGUUGGUCUCUACUAUAUGUAUGUCGUGCAUCUGCGCGCGCGCGUGUGUGGUGACGAGCAUCUCUCGUUGCUUGUAAUAAGGACACAAACACUGUCCACCGUGAUAUGUGUCAUGAACAGUCUACUAUGUUUAUGUAUUAUCUCUGGCCUUAGCAAUUUUAUGGAAACAUGAUUAUUAUUAUUA